UACAGAGGGUGCGAGCGUUAAUCGGAAUUACUGGGCGUAAAGCGCGCGUAGGCGGCUUCGUAAGUCGGUUGUGAAAUCCCCGGGCUUAACCUGGGAACUGCAUCCGAGACUGCAUAGCUAGAGUAUGGGAGAGGGAAGUGGAAUUUCAGGUGUAGCGGUGAAAUGCGUAGAUAUCUGAAGGAACAUCAGUGGCGAAAGCGACUUCCUGGACCAAUACUGACGCUCAUGUGCGAAAGCGUGGGGAGCAAACAGG
rnacentral:rRNA from 1 species